GAAGGAGGGAGAAUUAUUAUGAUCAAGGUUGUCCUCACUGCAACCUCAGUGUACCACAUGCUAUCCCUUGACCUCCCACCCUGGGUCAUCAAGAGUAUCGAGAAGAUAUGCAGAGAUUUCUUGUGGAAAGGAAUGGAGGAAGCGAAGGGUGGGGAUUGCAAAGUUGCAUGGGACAUGGUGUGUCGGCCCAUGGAAUUCGGAGGCUUGGGAAUCCAUAACCUGAGAUUACUAAACGCGGCCCUUAGAGUGCCCUGGUUGGAAAGAGUGGACUAUGACCGGCCUUGGCAGGGACUU
rnacentral:rRNA from 1 species